UGACCUAUAUAUUUAAGAUUGAUGGCAAUCUUAUCCUUCCUUGCAAAGUGAUCCUGUUAUAAAAUGACAAAUGUUUUUUAAAAUGGAAAAGAAAAAGAAUUGUACAAUUGAUUUUUCUAAUUAGAAAACCCUAAAACACUGACUUGUAAAUGCACUACUUGAUGCCGGGAUGAUGUCGGUCACCUACACGGACAUCAGCUCAGAGUAGCUGAAUAAACGCAACUAAAUACUCAAUAAGGCACUAAUGAGGUAUUAAGGCUAUUGAAUCAAGUUAAUUUAGACUCACUCAGAUAAAAGUCCAUUAAAAUAUUAUAAAUAGGUUUCCAUUUACGAGCUAUACAUUGUUUAUUGAUUGCUUAUUUGUUAUGUUUAAAAUAGGCUUUGCUGAAUUAAGUUUCAGAGUGUCUUUGUAGACACACCAUCCCUCUCAAUCAGAGAAGUGCCAAGGAGACAUCCUGGCAUGCCCUAAAACCUGAGGACGCAAGCAAGGAAAACAACGCACCAGAGAGCAAGUUGAAGCAGGAGUAAAUAUGCCAUCUAGCUAUUGGCUGAGAUAGAGAGGAGUGUGAUAAAUGAAACGUCAUUUCUCUCAAUUAGAGAAGUGCAAAGGAGACAUACUGACACAUCCGGAGACCUGAAGACACAUGCAAGCAAGCACAAUAGAGCAAGUUGAAGAAAGCAUCUUGGUCUUAUAUGGUUAUUUCAGUCCUCGUAAGAACAUCAUUAAUUAUUAAUAAUCUAUAAUUUGUCAUUCGAAAUUA